UGCCCGAAGGGUGACGAAGCGACGCCGCGUGUUGAGGAAGGCCUUCGGGUUGUUAAGCCCUGUCAGGAGUUAAGAAAUGUAGACUCGCUAAUAUCGGGUCUAUUUGACAAAGGCUCCAAAGGAAGCCACGGCUAACUCUUGCCCCAGCCGCGGUAAUACAGAGGUGGCAAGCGUUGUUCGGAAUUAUUGGGUGUAAAGAGCACGUAUGUGGAUUUGUAAGUCAGACGUGAAAGCCUUCUGUUCAACGGAAGAAUUGCAUCUGAAACUACAAACCUUGAGUGUAGGAGGGGAGAAUGGAACUUCUGGUGGAGCGGUGAAAUGCGUAGAUAUCAGAAGGAACGCCGGCGGCGAAAGCGAUUCUCUGGCCUAUUACUGACACUCAGUGUGCGAAAGCUAGGGGAGCAAACGGGAUUAGAUACCUCGGUAGUCCUAGCCGUAAACGAUGGGCACUAAGUAGAGGGGU
rnacentral:rRNA from 1 species